GUUUUAUUAGUAUAAUUAAGUAUAUUUGUCUUCCAAACAAAAGGUUUAACAUUUUUAAAUAAAAUA
rnacentral:tRNA from 1 species